rnacentral:rRNA from 1 species
CCCUUAGAUGUCCUGGGCCGCACGCGCGCUACACUGACAUGUUCAACAAGCCUCCUAGUUCGACAGGAUUUGGGAAAUCUUUGAACGCAUGUCGUGAUAGGGAUAGAUCAUUGCAAUUAUUGAUCUUGAACGAGGAAUUCCUAGUAAACGCGAGUCAUCAGCUCGCAUUGAUUACGUCCCUGCCCUUUGUACACACCGCCCGUCGCACCUACCGAUUGAAUGUUUCGGUGAAGAUUCCGGAUAGGACUUUUUUGAUUUAUUUCAAUUUUGUCUUAAAAGCUAUCUAAACCUCAACAUGUAGAGGAAGGUGAAGUCGUAACA